UACAGACUCCUACGGGAGGCAGCAGUGGGGAAUAUUGCACAAUGGGGGAAACCCUGAUGCAGCGACGCCGCGUGAGCGAUGAAGUAUUUCGGUAUGUAAAGCUCUAUCAGCAGGGAAGAAAAUGACGGUACCUGACUAAGAAGCCCCGGCUAACUACGUGCCAGCAGCCGCGGUAAUACGUAGGGGGCAAGCGUUAUCCGGAUUUACUGGGUGUAAAGGGAGCGUAGACGGCUGUGCAAGCCAGAUGUGAAAGCCCGGGGCUCAACCCCGGGACUGCAUUUGGAACUGUGUGGCUGGAGUGUCGGAGAGGCAGGCGGAAUUCGUGGUGUAGCGGUGAAAUGCUUAGAUAUCACGAGGAACCCCGAUUGCGAAGGCAGCCUGCCGCAGCGUUACUGACGCUGAAGCUCGAAAGCGCGGGUAUCGAACAGGAUUAGAUACCCCCGUA
rnacentral:rRNA from 1 species